rnacentral:rRNA from 1 species
UACGUAGGGUGCGAGCGUUGUCCGGAAUUACUGGGCGUAAAGAGCUCGUAGGCGGUUUGUCGCGUCUGCUGUGAAAACGCGAGGCUCAACCUCGCGCCUGCAGUGGGUACGGGCAGACUAGAGUGCGGUAGGGGAGAUUGGAAUUCCUGGUGUAGCGGUGGAAUGCGCAGAUAUCAGGAGGAACACCGAUGGCGAAGGCAGAUCUCUGGGCCGUAACUGACGCUGAGGAGCGAAAGCGUGGGGAGCAAACAGG